CCUGGCUUUGCAUGCACUGGGGAAGAUGCAUGGCAGAGUGAGCGAUCGCUGAAGAUCCAACAAUAUGUCGAAGGAGAAGAAAGUGGCAAGUUUCUUGGACAAUGCAAAAUUCUUGGAAAUAGUGGGAUCCAACAAUAUGUCAAAGCAGAAGAAGGUGGCAAGUUUCCUGGACAAUGCACAGUUCUUGGAAAAAGUGGGGUAAGCGACUUGUAGCUUUUGAACAAGUUGGAU